AGUGAACGCUGGCGGUAGGCCUAGCACAUGCAAGUCGAACGGCAGCACAGUAAGAGCUUGCUCUUACGGGUGGCGAGUGGCGGACGGGUGAGGAAUACAUCGGAAUCUACUUUUUCGUGGGGGAUAACGUAGGGAAACUUACGCUAAUACCGCAUACGACCUACGGGUGAAAGCAGGGGAUCUUCGGACCUUGCGCGACUGAAUGAGCCGAUGUCGGAUUAGCUAGUUGGCGGGGUAAAGGCCCACCAAGGCGACGAUCCGUAGCUGGUCUGAGAGGAUGAUCAGCCACACUGGAACGGAGACACGGUCCAGACUCCUACGGGAGGCAGCAGUGGGGAAUAUUGGACAAAGGGCGCAAGCCUGAUCCAGCCAUACCGCGUGGGUGAAGAAGGCCUUCGGGUUGUAAAGCCCUUUUGUUGGGAAAGAAAAGCAGCAGGUUAAUACCCCGCUGUUCUGACGGUACCCAAAGAAUAAGCACCGGCUAACUUCGUG
rnacentral:rRNA from 1 species